UACAGAGGUCCCGAGCGUUGUUCGGAUUCACUGGGCGUAAAGGGUGCGCAGGUGGGUUGGCAAGUUCGAUGUGAAAGCCCCGGGCUUAACCCGGGAAUGGCAUUGGAUACUGCUGAUCUGGAGGAUCGGAGGGGGGACUGGAAUUCUUGGUGUAGCAGUGAAAUGCGUAGAUAUCAAGAGGAACACCAGUGGCGAAGGCGAGUCCCUGGACGAUACCUGACACUGAGGCACGAAAGCCAAGGGAGCAAACAGG
rnacentral:rRNA from 1 species